UUUUGUUUACACAGGUGAUGGCACACUUCAUGACAGUAAACAUCGGUAUCAAUAUGAUGUGAUUGAUCUAUACCCUAGAAUAAGCUGUGACACUAUGAGACGGUGACAUAAUGAACAGCCAUCUUCCAGACAACCGAAACAGUAUUGUCUACAAUACCAAAUUCUGGAUUGACGCCCCAGUACCAGAAGGCACUCCAAUCCCAGAGAGCAUCCCAUUGUGAGGUAACACAACGAAAAAAUAACAGGAUGGAGACUACCUGAUUCUUCACCUAUGGCCUUAGCUUCAAAUGCAAGAAGUCCAGCAACUGUCUGAGCUGGUGGAUAUUCUAUCAGAGACUGCAUGAACAACGUUAUGAACAGAAUGAUGUCUAAUUGUCUUAUGGCAAAGUUCAAUAUGAGGGGUGGUGGACAUCUGGAAAAUAAGUCUUUUAAAGGCACACCUUUGUAUUAUGUUAUUCAAGAUGCUGUGAGGAGGUGGAGCCCAAAAGCCACGGACUCGGAAAUCGAUGCAGCUAUGGCAGACCACCUCAAGCACACUCCAGGAAGAGAGCUAGGGGUUGUGAAUACAAAAAAUAAGCCAAACAGAUGUAAUGUGUUAGAGAUAGUUCACACAAACAUGAAAAUUGUUAUAAUUUUCUUACCCACGUGUUUCAAACCUGUAUACAUUUCUAUUUUUUGCUGAACACAAAGAUUGAAUAAUGUUUGUAACCAAGCAUUUCUCACAACCCAUUAACUGUCAUAAUCAUUUUUUUUACAAUUGUAGUAAUGGGUUGUGAGAUCUGCUUUUUUAAAAACAUUCUUUCAAAUAUCUUUGUGUUCCGCAGAACAUAGAAAGGUAUACAGGUUUGAAACAUGAGAGGGAGUAAAUGACUAAAUAUUCAUUUUUGGGUGAACUAUCCCUUUAUAUAAUAAAGUAUUUUGAAAU